AUGUACAACAAAGUAAGACCUAAAAAUAAGUCAAUUGACCAAUAUGGUCAAUUGACACCCUAAGGAGUAAUUGUCCUUUAUAAUCAAUUUUUAACAAUUUUCACUAACAUUUUCCACUGAAACUACUGGGCCAAGUUCAUUAUAGAUAGAGAUAAUUGUAAGCAGCAAGAAUGUUUAGUAAAGUAAGAUCUACAAACACAUCACCAUCAC
rnacentral:lncRNA from 1 species